UACGUAGGGGGCAAGCGUUGUCCGGAAUCAUUGGGCGUAAAGAGCGUGUAGGCGGUCCGGUAAGUCCGCUGUGAAAGUCCAGGGCUCAACCCUGGAAUGCCGGUGGAUACUGUCGGGCUCGAGUCCGGAAGAGGCGAGUGGAAUUCCUGGUGUAGCGGUGAAAUGCGCAGAUAUCAGGAGGAACACCUAUUGCGAAGGCAGCUCGCUGGGACGUAACUGACGCUGAGACGCGAAAGCGUGGGGAGCAAACAGG
rnacentral:rRNA from 1 species